UAUUUUGAAUGGUGACCAGCAUCAGUCCCUCAGAGAUCUACCUUUUGAAUGCCGGACUUGUGCAAAGUGAAAAUACAGUUGAGCAGAUACUGGAGUCAGAGACAAGUGGGAGGCCUGGAGUGGAGUGACCAGAGAGGUCGAAAGUUACCUGAAAAUCCUGCGACCAGUUGACCAAACAUUAUGCCAAUUACCGCUGUUUUCAAAGGGACUGUUCAUUUCUCGAUGCCAUCAAACAUUUCACAGUUCUCAAGGGUUAAGA